GUUAGUCCGGUUGUGUUCUGCUCGUUUCAAAGAAAAACCUACUUUUUGUGAGUAUCAAAGGCUCUAUGAAAAAGUGUGUGACAUACAGUAGAAUACUGCUUAUAAGUGUUUGUUUCUUCUUUUAAUUGUGAAGAAAAAGGAAAAUUACUUUCAUUAGAAGAGGUGUAUUUUGUAAAAUUCUGGGGAGUUUGGCCAUACAACCACCUGUCAAGCUCACUGUCAGUCCUUGUAGGACCACCUUCUGUGGUUCCAAGUCUGAGACAUUCAGAGUGAAGUACGAGUCUAUGUACUAUCACAUCCUGAAGCUCCUUGCAAAACGCGACCUGUGGUCCUGUAUCAACAACGCCAUAUCAAAACCUCUCGGAUAACCUAACCGGAGGAUAAAAUACCCACAUUUUUUGGCAUCACUACCUUAAGAAGAACAUUCGGAAGGAAUAACUUCAAUCAUCACGACAUUGAGAAUAUUCACGAUUAAUAUCGAUAGCAGCUGAGUCUACGUGGGUGAAUCGCGCAUGCACCUUCAAACCACUAGAACCUGGUCUAUGCGGCAGUGUUGUUGCGACCAACAGCCCUAUCAUCCAUGAGAUGAUUUAAAACCCAAAAAAAACAUUUAAUUUGACGGAAAAAUGGGUUCAUUUUGGUGGCUAUCGUUGACUUAGCCAAGUGCUCCCACCCAACCAAGGCUGCACGUGGAAUUCGGGUGGGUCAUCACCCAUUCUCAGUCGGCCGUAUGCGCUCCUCACGACUACGACGGUUCCAUCUCCCCCACAGGGACAAAUCAAUCACACAUUUCGGGUUUUACAGACAUUUAAUGAACAUGCCUUCAAGACCAAAACUUGAUCGUCGUCUUUAAUAUUUACCCAGUCAAAGCUGAGGAUGCGUUUCCUGGAAAAGGCUACAGGCGCUGCGGGAGGUUAUCCUCUACCAGCCAGGUGUUGGUAGAGCUCGCAUGGAAUGCGCGCGUUUCGGGUCACAUAAUCCUGAGGAGCUCCUGAGAAAAGAAGGGACAGGCCAAACGGCAAAUGCUCUCGGGUCUAAUUCAGGAUACAUUUACAAUUAAACGAAGGAAGUAUAUAUAGUAAAGAAGAUAAACUAACUAAAGAUUAAAUAAAAAAAGGAAAGCUAAGGCACAACGGUGAGUUGCGCAAGACCAGUCCAGGGUUCGGCCGCCCGACACAUUGGCGGUACCUCUCAACGCUGCGAUACGACGGCUUGAAGCUCCCAAGAUGAGGUGGACGUAACAGUCUGAAACGGACUCACCGGAAAAUGCUGGAUGGCGUCGGUGUCGACUAAGAUAGGCGGUUAUAGCUGGACUUCUAAGCGGGUCAAACGGACACCGGAUGCCGGCAGCCAAUUCCUGAUUUGUAUGUAGGGCGAAAUCGCGCAUAAGUCCGUGGAACUCCCAAAUACAUAUCACAGGGCCCUUUUUGUUUAAACCCCGGCUGCCCUACGGAUGCUUUUUUAUAAAUAAAAGAACUAACAUGUUAAAUUUCCUAACACUCGCUUUUAUUGAGUUUUAGGCACAAACACUUAUCUUGGAACCUCACGCUGCGUCUGCCUGCUUAGACAAUAUGGUUGCGUCUAUAGAAAUACCUGCCUAUCAUCAUCGGUCCUUCCCCGCCAUAUUGCAUAGCCUCUCCCAAAAUUGGGUCAUUGGACACAUGAGUGUUAUUUAAGGUAAUAUCAGAGCGAACCGGGAUUAACCCUUAAAUGGCCAGAUCGCCCGCCAGAUUCGUCCUGCUGCUGCAACUAUCGCCCAAUCGUCCUAACCUAACGAUAGAGUCCCUCCCAUUAUCGACACCAAUUGCAACAACUCCACUGGUGUGAGAU